AUGGGAUCUGAUGCCAACACUGGUACAGAGUGGAGGGUUUUUGUUCAUUCCCUCCCCCACAAGCAUAUUCUCUUUACUUCUUUCAGAAAACAGCCUUUAGUCCUCUGGUCCUUGCAAACUUUUAACACAGUUGGUGUGAGAUCAAACUGUCCUUGUUGGUUAUCUAUUUUAUGGAUGGAAUUCAUGGCAAGAACCAUGAAGUGUCUGAGACCUUACCCUAUUUACGAGCAAACAGGUAAUCAUGGAUGAUGGCAAAAGACAGGAGACUCUGGGGUCAGAGACAAAGAUAUGACCAAUCAUAGCAAAAGCAGUAAACUUUCACGUUCAUUUGAAUCAGAGUCCCAUGGCCCCCAAGUCUCUUGGAGACACUGCAAAUAGCCCUCGAUGAAUGCCUAUAGACACACUGAGUUGGAUUACAGAACACUGAUCUUGGGGAAUCUUUCACUUUUAGAGUGAGAUUACUCCUUGUCUUGGGGAGAUGUGCCUCAUCCCUCAAGAUUGCUUCCUGCUGAUGGACUGGUAAAUAGCAUCAGGGCCCUGCAAUUUUGGCAUACCAAGCAAGGCUGUGCAGGACCACUCAGAGCCCAGGGCAAUAUAGCUUCUCCCAAAGGGGCAGAAGGUAGAAAAAACUACAGAUGGCGUGAGAUGUGGCCUGUUACCUGUUCCUGUACAAUCCAUGAGCUAAGGAUGGGUUUUGCAUUUGAACUCUGAAUAAGAAAAUGUUUAUACCUCACAAAAGAGAAUGCUAUUCUUUUCCUUCAUAGAUGUAUAUUACAAAAAAUUUACUCAAUUAUUGUUAAAGUACCUGGACUUUCAUCAGCAAAAAAACCUCUUUUUAUAUAAGUAUCUAUAUAAUAUUGUUGUUUUGUCUCUUGGCCUGCAAACCCUAAAACUAUCUGGCUCUUGAUAGAAAAAAUUUGCAGACUCCUGAUCUAAAGUUCACAAAAGGUCCUGCUUAUCUUCCAUUUUUGUAACUGCUAAUUUCACUGCUAAGCUUAGAAGAAAUAUAUGACUAACCAAAUUAGUUCAAGCAUCUGCAGAUUCUUUUUUAAAAUAUAAUCUUUGAAUAGGUAAACAUGUAUACUAUUUAAUUCAAAUAAAAAUUUAAAAGGCUUCUUAUCA
rnacentral:lncRNA from 1 species